rnacentral:rRNA from 1 species
AUGAACGCUAGCGACAGGCUUAACACAUGCAAGUCGAGGGGCAGCAUGAUUUGUAGCAAUACAGAUUGAUGGCGACCGGCGCACGGGUGAGUAACGCGUAUGCAACUUACCUAUCAGAGGGGGAUAGCCCGGCGAAAGUCGGAUUAAUACCCCAUAAAACAGGGGUCCCGCAUGGGAAUAUUUGUUAAAGAUUCAUCGCUGAUAGAUAGGCAUGCGUUCCAUUAGGCAGUUGGCGGGGUAACGGCCCACCAAACCGACGAUGGAUAGGGGUUCUGAGAGGAAGGUCCCCCACAUUGGUACUGAGACACGGACCAAACUCCUACGGGAGGCAGCAGUGAGGAAUAUUGGUCAAUGGCCGAGAGGCUGAACCAGCCAAGUCGCGUGAAGGAAGAAGGAUCUAUGGUUUGUAAACUUCUUUUAUAGGGGAAUAAAGUGGAGGACGUGUCCUUUUUUGUAUGUACCCUAUGAAUAAGCAUCGGCUAACUCCGUGCCAGCAGCCGCGGUAAUACGGAGGAUGCGAGCGUUAUCCGGAUUUAUUGGGUUUAAAGGGUGCGUAGGUGGUGAUUUAAGUCAGCGGUGAAAGUUUGUGGCUCAACCAUAAAAUUGCCGUUGAAACUGGGUUACUUGAGUGUGUUUGAGGUAGGCGGAAUGCGUGGUGUAGCGGUGAAAUGCAUAGAUAUCACGCAGAACUCCGAUUGCGAAGGCAGCUUACUAAACCAUAACUGACACUGAAGCACGAAAGCGUGGGGAUCAAACAGGAUUAGAUACCCUGGUAGUCCACGCAGUAAACGAUGAUUACUAGGAGUUUGCGAUACAAUGUAAGCUCUACAGAGAAAGCGUUAAGUAAUCCACCUGGGGAGUACGCCGGCAACGGCGAAACUCAAAGGAAUUGACGGGGGCCCGCACAAGCGGAGGAACAUGUGGUUUAAUUCGAUGAUACGCGAGGAACCUUACCCGGGUUUGAACGUAGUCUGACCGGAGUGGAAACACUCUUUCUAGCAAUAUCAGAUUAUGAGGUGCUGCAUGGUUGUCGUCAGCUCGUGCCGUGAGGUGUCGGCUUAAGUGCCAUAACGAGCGCAACCCUUAUCACUAGUUACUAACAGGUGAAGAUGAGGACUCUGGUGAGACUGCCAGCGUAAGCUGUGAGGAAGGUGGGGAUGACGUCAAAUCAGCACGGCCCUUACAUCCGGGGCGACACACGUGUUACAAUGGCAUGGACAAAGGGCAGAUACCUGGUGACAGGAUGCUAAUCUCCAAACCAUGUCUCAGUUCGGAUCGGAGUCUGCAACUCGACUCCGUGAAGCUGGAUUCGCUAGUAAUCGCGCAUCAGCCAUGGCGCGGUGAAUACGUUCCCGGGCCUUGUACACACCGCCCGUCAAGCCAUGGGAGCCGGGGGUACCUGAAGUCUGUAACCGCAAGGAUCGGCCUAGGGUAAAACUGGUGACU